ensembl:scaRNA small Cajal body-specific RNA 6
GGUCGAUGAUGAGUUCCGUAAAAGGUCUGACCCCGUCCUCUAGCCCCCCUCCGCUCCCAGCAGCCCCUAAUUUACCCAGCAUGCUCUAGUCGUGCAGCGCUGGUUUCAGGAGCUGCUGACACACAGGAUGUGACAUCACAAUCUGAGUCAGUCAGAGAUCCCAUUGGGUCAGUGUGGUGAUUUACAUCCCAUAGAACCAAUCUGCAAGGCGCAAGGGGGCGGGGCAGAGGACAUGGAGAUGAUCACAAGUUUUCAAGCUGAGACC